AUUGAACGCUGGCGGCAUGCUUUACACAUGCAAGUCGAACGGCAGCGCGGGCUUCGGCCUGGCGGCGAGUGGCGAACGGGUGAGUAAUGCAUCGGAACGUGCCCAGUAGUGGGGGAUAGCCCGGCGAAAGCCGGAUUAAUACCGCAUACGACCUGAGGUUGAAAGCGGGGGACCGAAAGGCCUCGCGCUAUUUGAGCGGCCCAUGUCGGAUUAGCUAGUUGGUGGGGUAAAGGCUUACCAAGGCGACGAUCCGUAGCUGGUCUGAGAGGACGACCAGCCACACUGGAACUGAGACACGGCCCAGACUCCUACGGGAGGCAGCAGUGGGGAAUUUUGGACAAUGGGGGAAACCCUGAUCCAGCAAUGCCGCGUGAGGGAAGAAGGCCUUCGGGUUGUAAACCGCUUUUGUUCGGGAAGAAAUCCUGUGGGCUAAUACCCCGGGGGGAUGACGGUACCGGAAGAAUAAGCACCGGCUAACUACGUG
rnacentral:rRNA from 1 species